CAGAACUCACUUCAGAACACAACAGUUUAGAAGCCAGGAAGAUGCAUGAGCCUUCUGCAGCUCACCAAAGCCUGUCUGCAGGUGAAUUCCCAACAGUGGACUUGGGUUCCAGGAGUGUGCUUCUAUGGAGUUUUGGAGACUGUGAAGACCUCUCUCUGGAGCAGUAUAUAGUUAGGAACGCUGCUGUGCUAUCUCCAGGCUAAAGGCUGGACAGUCAAGCAGACGCCCCUGCUCCUGCGCCUUCGAAGACCUCACAGCCUCCAGACUUGACUAACUCAAGCUUCCCACUCACAGGAGCGCAGCCCUCCCCCGAGCGCCUCCUAAAGGCUGCAUCUUAUUAACCUUUGGGUUUCUGCAGAAUGUAUUGAAACUGUAGCAACCUUCCAAUGUAACCAUGCAGUUGUGGCUCACCCAAGAGGCUGUGUAGCUCCCUGGUUUAAUGAAUGAAGGCAGAACUGAUCAAACCUGGCUUAUAGCUGCUAAUGGCAGCAAAUGAUGGGUUCCUUAGAGGCUCAUUUUCAUUAUCUGUCAUUUGGGGACAUCAAAUCUUCAUAAGGAUCCUGCAAGAAUUUGUGGCAUAGCACCACGGGCCCACCACAGUGACAUGCAAGAGACGAAGAAAAAUUAUGUUUUAAAAAUGGUCAGCACGAGAGAUCUGUUAAAGGACCUUUUGGGAUAUAGUUACAGCAGCAGCGACACACGUCACCUGGUGCGAACGGCGAAACCAGACUGAGCUCAGGAUGCAGCCUCUGCGGCCUCCUGGGAAACCAUCAGCUUUUGCUACUUUGUGGGGUGCAAAGAUUUCUUUUAGGAAAAAAAGAUUGUGGGCUGAGAUAAUUUUCUGCCCUGGUUUCAUUAAUCACAGCCUCUUCCCAAUAAAGAGCCCAGAGGACAGGCUUUUUCUCUCUCUCUUGGUGAACACAGAGAAAAGUGUGCACCCUUCCUCAUUAUUAACUCGCAAUAGUGACCUUGGAUGGUGUGAUGCCUUAGUCCUUCCUCUGUAGUGAUAAACACAUUGUUUCCAGUUUCCACCAGGAGUCCCUGCACUUACUUUAUAGCAUCGGCUGCAAAUGUUAACCUGCUUCUCUUUCCUCCUGCAACUUGGCUGCUUGUUUCAGAGUUCCUUUUCAUGAUUAUGUUUUAUUAUGUUUUCCCAGCUCUUAUUCCAACUGCCUUUAGCGAACAGAUAUAUAAAACCAAGAGGCAUGUACCAAUCUGAUCUUCCCAGAUUGGGUCUCUCCUUGAUUUUAAGAUAGUUUGCUUCUUUCAGUCAGUAAGUCAGUCCGUCCAUCCAUC
rnacentral:lncRNA from 1 species